AAGUAAUCUGCACUAAAAUAAAAAUUUUAAAACUAAUUAAAAAAUUGUUCACGUACUAUAAAUAAAACCAAAUGACUCAUCAUGCAUGAAGUAUCUAUUUCUUGUACUACUAUUUUGGUAUUCCACCACUAUUACAAUACUUCCCCUACCUAACAGCGACUAGCCAUGUACAAUGAUAACACUUCCUACCUUAGAUUUACAUUAUAAAGAGGAUUUCCUUUUUUAUUCUUUAGUUUAUAAUUUUAUUAUGCAUUUCUUUCAUUUUUUUAUAUGGCCAGUGCUCUUACCUCUUAAUAAAAUAUAA
rnacentral:misc_RNA from 1 species